GGUGAACGCUGGAAAUGUGGAUACCGGCAUGCAAGUCGAGGGGUAACAAGAGGAAAGCUUGCUUUUCUUGUUGACGACCGGCGCACGGGUGAGUAACGCGUAUCCAACCUGCCUAUAACUAGGGAAUAACCUUGCGAAAGUAAGACUAAUACCCUAUGAUUUCCUUUGAUGACAUCAGAUUAGGAAUAAAGAUUUAUCGGUUAUAGAUGGGGAUGCGUCUGAUUAGCUUGUUGGCGGGGUAACGGCCCACCAAGGCAACGAUCAGUAGGGGUUCUGAGAGGAAGGUCCCCCACAUUGGAACUGAGACACGGUCCAAACUCCUACGGGAGGCAGCAGUGAGGAAUAUUGGUCAAUGGGCGGAAGCCUGAACCAGCCAAGUAGCAUGCAGGAUGACGGCCCUAUGGGUUGUAAACUGCUUUUAUACAGGAAUAAAGUUAGCCACGUGUGGUUAUUUGUAGGUACUGUAUGAAUAAGGACCGGCUAAUUCCGUGCCAGCCGCCGCGGUAA
rnacentral:rRNA from 1 species